rnacentral:rRNA from 1 species
GCCGUCCUACGGGACGCAGCAGUAGGGAAUCUUCCACAAUGGACGAAAGUCUGAUGGAGCAACGCCGCGUGAGUGAAGAAGGGUUUCGGCUCGUAAAGCUCUGUUGGUAGUGAAGAAAGAUAGAGGUAGUAACUGGCCUUUAUUUGACGGUAAUUACUUAGAAAGUCACGGCUAACUACGUGCCAGCAGCCGCGGUAAUACGUAGGUGGCAAGCGUUGUCCGGAUUUAUUGGG